CCGCUCCUUCCCCUUCCCUCUCCCUGCCAGCGUCACCGCUCUCCCAGCCUAGUCGCUGCCGCUGGCUCUCCCCGUCGCUGACGUGGCCACCGCGGGUGACUACCCGACCACCGGAAGCGCAGCCCUUGUAGGGCGCAGAGUCCUGAGGGCUCCGCGGGGCCGGAAGCCGGGCAACAGCCGCCCGCGGUCUCUGGCCUGGCUCUCAUCUUCCGAACGACUCACCGGUCCCGCAAAGGAGCUUUCACCAUGGGACCGCAUCUCUAAUGCUGAAAAGCAGCUGAAAAUACCCAGGACCACCUGAUUCUCUGACUCAGUGGGACUCAACCCCUGACCUCAGGGGAGUUUCCUGAGCCAUGAAGGAAGACUUGAGCUGAGCACAGAAGGAAACAUGGGAAAGGAUGUUGGUUAUUAUUUUCCCAGCUAUUAUCCUGACCUGAUUACUCUUGUCAUUAUGGGCUCUCACUAAAGCUCAGUUGAGGAUAACACUAAAUGCUACCGAGAAUAACUUCAGAUUCCUCGGAUCCCAUGUUCCUGCAUUAGGUAUUCACACAGAUUAUGGAAGCAGCAAGGUGGGUCUCCUGGCCCACACUCUCUUAUUAUAGAUACGCAGAGUGUGGCUCAGGGAAGUGACUCCCAGUCUGCCCACCAGGCUCCCUUCUGUGAACCACAUGGAUGAAAUGCUCAGCCUCCCUGGGCUGGGAGCCACGCACAGCUGAGAAACACCUUGGGCCCUGAAGCCAGAGCUGGCCACUACGGUACCUCUUCUUUAGAUUCUUCCUCCUGUCCCCAUUUCUUGAGUCUGUCUUUCUCCACACGUU
rnacentral:lncRNA from 1 species